rnacentral:ncRNA from 1 species
UUGGUCAACCUAGGCAAAGUCUAGCCAAUAGCCUAGAACAGACCAUUAUGGUGCGUAAGGUAACGAGCGUAUCAAAGCUAAUGGAAUGGACAACACAGGGUGCAACGAAAGUGAAGGUAUUGAGUCCCGAAAUUUGUUAUGACAUAGAGGUUGACAUUUUCCAUGAGAUGGAAGACAGCAUGAAGGGUAACAACAAGGCAAGUUAUCACUCACUCUAUCGGGAUCUGAGGCCG